GCCCAGCUGACGAGUGCCAAAUAGGACGAAAUGCGCGUCCUGUAU
rnacentral:hammerhead_ribozyme from 1 species